UCAAAAUGAAUCAAAACUUUCAACAACGGAUCUCUUGGUUCUGGCAUCGAUGAAGAACGCAGCGAAAUGCGAUAAGUAAUGUGAAUUGCAGAAUUCAGUGAAUCAUCGAAUCUUUGAACGCACAUUGCGCCCGCCAGUAUUCUGGCGGGCAUGCCUGUCC
rnacentral:rRNA from 2 species